UACGGGGGGGGCAAGCGUUGUUCGAAAUUACUGGGCGUAAAGGGCUCGUAGGCGGCCAACUAAGUCGGAUGUGAAAUCCCCAAGCUUAACUUGGGAACUGCAUCCGAUACUGGAUGGCUUGAAUCCGGGAGAGGGAUGCAGAAUUCCAGGUGUAGCGGUGAAAUGCGUAGAUAUCAGGAGGAACACCGAUGGCGAAAGCAGGUACCUGGGCCUUGACUGACGCUGAGACGCGAAAGCUGGGGUAGCAAACAGG
rnacentral:rRNA from 1 species